GCCUAGGAUAGCUCAUUGGUAGGGCAGGAGACUCUUAAGCUCGUGGUUGUGGGUUCGAGCCCCUCAUUGGGCA